rnacentral:rRNA from 1 species
UAGCCGUAAACGAUACUCGCUAGGUGUCGGCCACGGUGCGACCGUUGUCGGUGCCGUAGGGAAGCCGUGAAGCGAGCCACCUGGGAAGUACGGCCGCAAGGCUGAAACUUAAAGGAAUUGGCGGGGGAGCACCACAAGGGUGAAGCUUGCGGUUUAAUUGGAUUCAACGCCGGAAAUCUUACCGGGACCGACAGCAACAUGAAGGCCAGGCUGAAGACUUUGCCGGAUUAGCUGAGAGGUGGUGCAUGGCGUAGACGUCU